rnacentral:miRNA from 1 species
UUAAACUCCAGAAGUAGGGCU